GGAGAGGUCUGCCGCGUUCAGGACGCUGUGCCGAAGCACGGUUGCAGACAGUGCUCCAUGUGGGUGCAUAGAAAGAUCAACUCUUUAAUCUGGCCCAGAUCUGCAUGAGCACUUAUAUGGUAGGAUUGAGAAGAAGGAACAAGAAGAUGAAUGAGGCAGGACUGCAUCUUUAAUGGUACUUCUGAAAUCUGUCUUGAAGGGACCUGCCUGAAGCCGCAUGCACAUCCUGUGACAAAGCAGAGACAUAAGUUCAGAU
rnacentral:lncRNA from 1 species